rnacentral:misc_RNA from 1 species
AAACUGCGAUAAGUAGUGUGAAUUGCAUUUAGUGAAUCAUCGAAUCUUUGAACGCACAUUGCGCCCCUCGGUAUUCCGUGGGGCAUGCCUGUUCGAGCGUCAUCUACACCCUCAAGCUCUGCUUGGUGUUGGGCGUCUGUCCCGCCUCCGCGCGCGGACUCGCCCCAAAUGCAUUGGCAGCGGUUCCUUGCCCCCCUCUUUGCGCAGCACAUUGCCAUUCGAGGCGGCGGCGGCCCGCGUCCAACAAGCUCAACCCCCCCGUCUUUGACCUCGGAUCAGGUAGGGAUACCCGCUGAACUUAAGC